rnacentral:lncRNA from 1 species
AACACCACCACCACGCUUCAGGAACUGCCCACACCAGGAGCUCAUAGCUUUAUAGGAAACUGCAGCAGAGUCCCCGGCUGAGCCACUACUGAGACCUGUAAUACUAUAACCACCCAUGUCAAUAUUACCUGUCAUACUGAAGCCGCUACUACUAACUGAACUAACGCUGACGUGAUCCGUGACCCAUUUUUUAGACACAGCG